rnacentral:rRNA from 1 species
CUACGGGCCGCACCAGCGAGGAAUAUUGCACAAUGGGGGAACCCUAAUGCAGCAACGCCGCGUGGAGGAUGACGCAUUUCGGUGUGUAAACUCCUUUUAUAUGUCAAGAAAAUGACGGUAGCAUAUGAAUAAGCACCGGCUAACUCCGUGCCAGCAGCCGCGGUAAUACGGAGGGUGCAAGCGUUACUCGGAAUCACUGGGCGUAAAGGGCGCGUAGGCGGGUUGGAAAGUCAGGUGUGAAAUCCUACAGCUUAACUGUAGAACUGCACUUGAAACUUCUAAUCUAGAGUAUGGGAGGGGGAGAUGGAAUUAGUGGUGUAGGGGUAAAAUCCGUAGAUAUCACUAGGAAUACCUAAAGCGAAGGCGAUCUCCUGGAACAUUACUGACGCUAAGGCGUGAAAGCGUGGGGAGCAAACAGGAUUAGAUACCCGAGUAGUC